CCGCAGAAGCCCUGCUUGGGAAGGACGUGACCCCGGGAAAGGGCGUGGGUGUGAAGCACACACAUUUGAGAGAGGAAAACGUGCAGUUGUCCCGCUUUGCAAACCAAUCGGCGACGUUUGGCCAUGCCAGCCAGUCCCCCAGUUGGAGCCACCCCCAACCUCCUUGCCACUGCUUCCUGAGACAGCACUUCUCAAACUCGGUGCCCCAGGAACCCCAGCGUGGCGACGGCAUCCACUCAGAACACACAGGCUCUAGGAAGAAAGCACCCAGCCUCCCGUCUUCCUGCGCACACGUGUGUUUAGACACCGAUGUCCCUGCACGCACCCGCAGGCAGCUCUCCGAGCGGCGUCACAGACACGGCUAGCUCCAGUCACGGCAGCACUCAGCCGCCCGGCCACAGGGAGCUCCACACUGCGUGAGAAGGCCCUGUGACCCGAGGUCGGACAGGCGGACAGGCCCACAGUGAGCUCGAGACCCACAGACACUGACCGAGACCCGACAGGACAGACAUGCACCAAAAACACGCGGACACGUGUGCUUGAGAAGAGGAGGGGGAGCCCGAACAGGCACGGGGGAGCCCGCACAGGCAUGAGGGGGCAGCCGGUGUUGGGGGCUCCUCCUCCAGCACGGGGGCAGGAGGCAGUGAGAUGGGGUGUCGGACAAGACAGCACAAGUCAGAACCGCCGUGGCCAAAGAGACCCCCCGGGACCCCCCUGGGGCAGCACGGCCCGAGCCCCGCAGCCUGCCUGGCUCCCCACCCGACCCCAACGUAGACGCUUCCUCUGACUCCAGCACAGCCCCAGUGGUCCCUACGGGAACCGAGCCCCCGCCAGCCGGGUCGCCUGCCACCACGUGCCUGUGUUCUGAGCCAGGAUGGGGGUGGGGGUCUCAGCAGUGAGUGAGGGUCCCUGUGUCCACACCAUCCACCUGCCAAGACCAGCUGACACCAGCGGGGUCCUGCCAUGCGGGGUGCGGGCUCCACCUCCAAAGGGCAGGCGGAGGCACAGGUCCCACCAGACUCACAGAGCCCAGGUCAGGCAGCAGAGGGGCGCCAGGAGCCGAGCUCCCCAUCAAGCUUCGCAGAGCAGGCCCCUCACCCAGCAGCCCAGGGACGUGGCAGGCAAUGAUUGCGGAACAACUUCCUAAGCACGACCCUACACUGGACAGGCUGCGGCUGCCCCAGGCCAGGGAACAGAGAUGCCACCCCGUGACCUGCCAGAGCCCUUACACGAGUCCUGUCUCCAAUCUGCCCGACCCACAGAACCUCGGGGCCCGGGAGAGGGAACCAGGCUAAGCACCUGCACCCUUGGCCCACUUUGACCUUGGCAAACAGGGAGAGGAGGCCAGCCAGAAUCUCCACCCAGGGGCGUGAGACAGAGAGGAUGUCCCACCCUCCUCGGAGGACGAGGGGCCCUGGUCUGUGCCACAUGCUCCAGACACUCUGGACCCAGAGCAGCGGGAAGGCCAGAGGCCCACUUGGAGCUUUCACCCCAGCCGGCGUCGACUCAGGCCAGCUGUGAGCUCGGGCUAUGUGCCUGCAGCUGGAGGGAGCGCACUAACAGAGACCCCCUGCCUCCGAGAACCCUGGGGCCAGACUUGUGGGCGGGGUGGGGGAUCCCCCACCCCCGAGAAGCCGCCCAGCUGCCCGGAUCCACAGUGCUGCAAAGUAAAACCGAAUCACUGGGGAGGGGGUGAGCAGGAAGAGUGAUUUAAGGGCCCACAUCACCGCCAGGCGGGGGUCUGGACCCGCAGUCACACAGUCACACACGGAAGCACACACAAGGCCCUCACAUCUCCAUGACAGGUUGCGCACACGUGUGGGAGAGAGACCAGACGGCCGUGCACACGGCAGACACCAGGGUAGCAGCAGGGGGCACUGACCUUGGAGACGGCUCCGGCGGGGGGUCCUUCCUUCAAACAGAAGCAACAGAGAGUUAGUGGCCGCCCACUCAGCACCCAUGAGGGUCCCCCAACCAGUCCAGCCCCCCACAGUCCCAUGGGUCAGGGGCUGCAGGGGAGGGGGGUCUCAGAAAAGGCUGGGCAGGGGUGGAGCUGGCCCACCCACCCCAGAGAGCCCACGGCCCCAGGAACGGGCACCCCAGGGCCCACGGAGGCAGCUCCGAGAGGGAAGAGGGACUCCAUGGGGCGGGGGCCUCUGCUCUUCUGACCUGGGGGUCUCUACCCCUCCACAUUUACAGACACUCAUUUUAAUCAGAACCACACCAAUAUUAAUAAAGUUCCAAAAAGCACGUGUUUGCUGAAGGAAGCUC
rnacentral:lncRNA from 1 species